AUUGAACGCUGGCGGCAGGCCUAACACAUGCAAGUCGAACGAGUGGCGGACGGGUGAGUAAUGUCUGGGAAACUGCCUGAUGGAGGGGGAUAACUACUGGAAACGGUCGCUAAUACCGCAUACCAUCAGAUGUGCCCAGAUGGGUUUAGCUUGUUGGUGGGGUAACGGCUCACCAAGGCGACGAUCCCUAGCUGGUCUGAGAGGAUGACCAGUCACACGGGAACUGAGACACGGUCCAGACUCCUACGGGAGGCAGCAGGGGGGAAUAUUGGACAAUGGUCGAAAGCCUGAUCCAGCCAUGCCGCGUGUGUGAAGAAGGCCUUCGGAUUGUAAAGUACUUUAAGUUGGGAGGCGUUACCCGCAGAAGAAGCACCGGCUAACUCCGUGCCAGCAGCCGCGGUAAUUC
rnacentral:rRNA from 1 species